UAGGGAAUCUUCGGCAAUGGACGGAAGUCUGACCGAGCAACGCCGCGUGAGUGAAGAAGGUUUUCGGAUCGUAAAGCUCUGUUGUUAGAGAAGAACGUUGGUAGGAGUGGAAAAUCUACCAAGUGACGGUAACUAACCAGAAAGGGACGGCUAACUACGUGCCAGCAGCCGCGGUAAUACGUAGGUCCCGAGCGUUGUCCGGAUUUAUUGGGCGUAAAGCGAGCGCAGGCGGUUCUUUAAGUCUGAAGUUAAAGGCAGUGGCUUAACCAUUGUACGCUUUGGAAACUGGAUGACUUGAGUGCAGAAGGGGAGAGUGGAAUUCCAUGUGUAGCGGUGAAAUGCGUAGAUAUAUGAAGGAACACCGGUGGCGAAAGCGGCUCUCUGGUAUGUAACUGACGCUGAGGCUCGAAAGCGUGGGGAGCAAACAGG
rnacentral:rRNA from 1 species